rnacentral:rRNA from 1 species
UACGUAGGGCGCAAGCGUUGUCCGGAAUUAUUGGGCGUAAAGAGCUCGUAGGCGGCUUGUUAAGUCGGAUGUGAAAGCCCGGGGCUUAACCCCGGGUCUGCAUUCGAUACGGGCUAGCUAGAGUGUGGUAGGGGAGAUCGGAAUUCCUGGUGUAGCGGUGAAAUGCGCAGAUAUCAGGAGGAACACCGGUGGCGAAGGCGGAUCUCUGGGCCAUUACUGACGCUGAGGAGCGAAAGCGUGGGGAGCGAACAGG